rnacentral:rRNA from 1 species
GGUUAAGCGACUAAGCGUACACGGUGGAUGCCCUGGCAGUCAGAGGCGAUGAAGGACGUGCUAAUCUGCGAAAAGCGUCGGUAAGGUGAUAUGAACCGUUAUAGCCGGCGAUGUCCGAAUGGGGAAACCCAGUGCAAUUCGUUGCACUAUCGUUAACUGAAUACAUAGGUUAACGAGGCGAACCGGGGGAACUGAAACAUCUAAGUACCCCGAGGAAAAGAAAUCAACCGAGAUUCCCCCAGUAGCGGCGAGCGAACGGGGAGCAGCCCAGAGUCUGAAUCAGCUUGUGUGUUAGUGGAACGGUCUGGAAAGUCCGACGGUACAGGGUGAUAGUCCCGUACACCAAAAUGCACAGGUUGUGAACUCGAAGAGUAGGGCGGGACACGUGGUAUCCUGUCUGAAUAUGGGGGGACCAUCCUCCAAGGCUAAAUACUCCUGACUGACCGAUAGUGAACCAGUACCGUGAGGGAAAGGCGAAAAGAACCCCGGCGAGGGGAGUGAAAAAGAACCUGAAACCGUGUACGUACAAGCAGUGGGAGCACCUUCGGGUGUGACUGCGUACCUUUUGUAUAAUGGGUCAGCGACUUAUAUUCUGUAGCAAGGUUAACCGUAUAGGGGAGCCGCAGGGAAACCGAGUCUUAACUGGGCGUUAAGUUGCAGGGUAUAGACCCGAAACCCGGUGAUCUAGCCAUGGGCAGGUUGAAGGUUGGGUAACACUAACUGGAGGACCGAACCGACUAAUGUUGAAAAAUUAGCGGAUGACUUGUGGCUGGGGGUGAAAGGCCAAUCAAACCGGGAGAUAGCUGGUUCUCCCCGAAAGCUAUUUAGGUAGCGCCUCGUGAACUCAUCUUCGGGGGUAGAGCACUGUUUCGGCUAGGGGGUCAUCCCGACUUACCAACCCGAUGCAAACUACGAAUACCGAAGAAUGUUAUCACGGGAGACACACGGCGGGUGCUAACGUCCGUCGUGAAGAGGGAAACAACCCAGACCGCCAGCUAAGGUCCCAAAGUCAUGGUUAAGUGGGAAACGAUGUGGGAAGGCACAGACAGCCAGGAUGUUGGCUUAGAAGCAGCCAUCAUUUAAAGAAAGCGUAAUAGCUCACUGGUCGAGUCGGCCUGCGCGGAAGAUGUAACGGGGCUAAACCAUGCACCGAAGCUGCGGCAGCGACACUAUGUGUUGUUGGGUAGGGGAGCGUUCUGUAAGCCUGCGAAGGUGACCUGUGAGGGUUGCUGGAGGUAUCAGAAGUGCGAAUGCUGACAUAAGUAACGAUAAAGCGGGUGAAAAGCCCGCUCGCCGGAAGACCAAGGGUUCCUGUCCAACGUUAAUCGGGGCAGGGUGAGUCGACCCCUAAGGCGAGGCCGAAAGGCGUAGUCGAUGGGAAACAGGUUAAUAUUCCUGUACUUGGUGUUACUGCGAAGGGGGGACGGAGAAGGCUAUGUUAGCCGGGCGACGGUUGUCCCGGUUUAAGCAUGUAGGCUGGUUGUCCAGGCAAAUCCGGAUAAUCAAGGCUGAGGUGUGAUGACGAGGUACUACGGUGCUGAAGUAACAAAUGCCCUGCUUCCAGGAAAAGCCUCUAAGCAUCAGGUAACAUCAAAUCGUACCCCAAACCGACACAGGUGGUCAGGUAGAGAAUACCAAGGCGCUUGAGAGAACUCGGGUGAAGGAACUAGGCAAAAUGGUGCCGUAACUUCGGGAGAAGGCACGCUGGUGUGUAGGUGAAGUCCCUGCGGAUGGAGCUGAGACCAGUCGAAGAUACCAGCUGGCUGCAACUGUUUAUUAAAAACACAGCACUGUGCAAACACGAAAGUGGACGUAUACGGUGUGACGCCUGCCCGGUGCCGGAAGGUUAAUUGAUGGGGUUAUCCGUAAGGAGAAGCUCUUGAUCGAAGCCCCGGUAAACGGCGGCCGUAACUAUAACGGUCCUAAGGUAGCGAAAUUCCUUGUCGGGUAAGUUCCGACCUGCACGAAUGGCGUAAUGAUGGCCAGGCUGUCUCCACCCGAGACUCAGUGAAAUUGAACUCGCUGUGAAGAUGCAGUGUACCCGCGGCAAGACGGAAAGACCCCGUGAACCUUUACUAUAGCUUGACACUGAACAUUGAGCCUUGAUGUGUAGGAUAGGUGGGAGGCUUUGAAGCGUGGACGCCAGUCUGCGUGGAGCCAACCUUGAAAUACCACCCUUUAAUGUUUGAUGUUCUAACGUUGGCCCCUGACCGGGGUUGCGGACAGUGUCUGGUGGGUAGUUUGACUGGGGCGGUCUCCUCCCAAAGCGUAACGGAGGAGCACGAAGGUUAGCUAAUCCUGGUCGGACAUCAGGAGGUUAGUGCAAUGGCAUAAGCUAGCUUGACUGCGAGCGUGACGGCGCGAGCAGGUGCGAAAGCAGGUCAUAGUGAUCCGGUGGUUCUGAAUGGAAGGGCCAUCGCUCAACGGAUAAAAGGUACUCCGGGGAUAACAGGCUGAUACCGCCCAAGAGUUCAUAUCGACGGCGGUGUUUGGCACCUCGAUGUCGGCUCAUCACAUCCUGGGGCUGAAGUAGGUCCCAAGGGUAUGGCUGUUCGCCAUUUAAAGUGGUACGCGAGCUGGGUUUAGAACGUCGUGAGACAGUUCGGUCCCUAUCUGCCGUGGGCGCUGGAGAAUUGAGGGGGGCUGCUCCUAGUACGAGAGGACCGGAGUGGACGCAUCACUGGUGUUCGGGUUGUCAUGCCAAUGGCACUGCCCGGUAGCUAAAUGCGGAAGAGAUAAGUGCUGAAAGCAUCUAAGCACGAAACUUGCCCCGAGAUGAGUUCUCCCUGAGACUUUAAGUCUCCUGAAGGAACGUUGAAGACGACGACGUUGAUAGGCCGGGUGUGUAAGCGCAGCGAUGCGUUGAGCUAACCGGUACUAAUGAACCGUGAGGCUUAACCUU